rnacentral:tRNA from 1 species
GAAUAAUUAGUUUAAUAAAAAUAAAUGUUUUCUAUACAUUAGUUGGAGGAGUUCCAUAAUUCA